rnacentral:lncRNA from 1 species
AAGGCUUCGAUGGAGGAGAGGAGAGGAGAGGGGGAGAGAUAAAAGAGCGACCUUUUCCUCCAGAAUUCUAUUUGCGUUGUCUUCUUCCCUUCUCUUCCGUCCAAUCCUUCCGCUUCAUCGUUCGUUUUCGAGGAUUCCAUUGCGGUUUGAUCAGGUUAUACUGCCCAAGUUCGGGCAUCGAUUCGUUGUUGUGGAGUUGGAGGAACCCUAGGGUCCUCCGCGCUGGUCGGGAAGAGGGAAAGGGAUCGGCUUUCUUGCGGGAGGUCAGCUUUUAUAUCCGGUUGUUGGGUUCUUAGUGCUUGAGAUUCUGCUUUGGAGUAUUGGAAUUUUUAAGUGUUUUUCGGAUUUUCUUAUGGUUUGUUGAUUAGUAUGGAGUAUAAUUCUGAACUUGUUUUUGAUUAGAUAGAUACCAUUUUCACCUGUUCUUUUGUUGCUUUUUGAGUGUGGUCCGCAUGGAAUUCGAGUAGGCUACUAACUAGAACAGGGAUUUCAACCUUAAGUUGUUCUUUUUCCUUUUUAAUCUAGUGAAAUGAUCAUUGAGGCUAAUUUUAACUGAAGUGUUGUAAUUUGUAGGAUUUUUGAAUUUGCUGCUUGUUUUUUUUUUUUUUAAGUUUUCAGCAGCAU